CCUUACCUGGCCUUGACAUACUAAGAACUUCCAGAGAUGGAUUGGUGCCUUCGGGAACUUAGAUACAGGUGCUGCAUGGCUGUCGUCAGCUCGUGUCGUGAGAUGUUGGGUAAGUCCCGCAACGAGCGCAACCCUUUUCCUUAUUUGCCAGCGGGUUAAGCCGGGAACUUUAAGGAUACUGCCAGUGACAAACUGGGAGGAAGGCGGGGACGACGUCAAGUCAUCAUGGCCCUUACGGCCAGGGCUACACACGUGCUACAAUGGUCGGUACAAAGGGUUGCUACCUCGCGAGAGGAUGCUAAUCUCAAAAAGCCGAUCGUAGUCCGGAUCGCAGUCUGCAACUCGACUGCGUGAAGUCGGAAUCGCUAGUAAUCGCGGAUCAGAAUGCCGCGGUGAAUACGUUCCCGGGCCUUGUACACACCGCCCGUCACACCAUGGGAGUUUGUUGCACCAGAAGUAGGUAGUCUAACCGCAAGGAGGACGCUUACCACGGUGUGGCCGAUGACUGGGGUGAAGUCGUAACAAGGUAAGCGUAGAUGA
rnacentral:rRNA from 1 species